CUGUACGAAUUUUCAACUGGGAAAAACAUCCUGGAUGACACCUCUGCCAACUGUUCUGGCUGUAGCACUGUUUUGAAGCAUUCGUAUCUUCAGAUGAGUGAUGGCUCCCUGCAUCUUAAUCCUCUUGUUGGUUAGACUGAUCAAGGUGGAAUUAUUCAUCCAUCCACUGGACUCCAUGCUCUAGUGACAGCCCUAUGCCAGUCCUGGAGGGACAAAAGCAUGAGCUCCAGCACUGGUGAAGCCUGGUUUCCUGUGGAUGCUCCUCGAGGCCAUUCUCCUGGAGAAGCCUAGAAGGGACUUGGUUUUAUUCAAAGAUGAAAGAAGACAUUUUUUUCUUCCUUUACAAAAAGAAAAAGUUUUUCAUUUGGAGGCUGAAUAUAUACAUGAUGUGAAGAAGGAUCUCAGUGUGAUAAGAGCGGCAUCUUUCCGUCGUGUGGCUGGGAUAUAUGAGCCACAAAGAGCAGUACUAAUGGGAUGGGGAAGUCCUACUCUUCCUGAUUCUGCCCUAUUCAGUUCUAAUUGUGCACUGCCAAACAUCAUGACAUUGCCAGAAUAUAACAAUGUCAAGGUAAAAAUUCACAGUAGAAAGUGCAAAAAUGUCCAAACCCAUUAACAGACCUUUCAAAGCAUAAAGGAUUUCAGCAAGUGAGAAGGAGCUAAUGUGAUGGAAAUAAUUAUAGGCCUAUAGUAUCAUGCUUGCAUUUAACUGAAGUAUAUCAGAAUUGCAAAGGACACUAUUUGAAAUAUACUUAGCAAUGUAGAGCAUAGAUACUAUUAAUAGCAUUAAAG
rnacentral:lncRNA from 1 species